UGUGUGAUAGGAUUAAGUACAGCAGCCUCCAUUGGACUGUGGACUAGCACACAGAAGGAGGGCUGUCAUGUCCUCCAGCGCUGACGGGGUUUUGCCUCCAAGUGGCCAUAUUCAAAGCUGGUGAUGAGGAGGGACGCUGUCACACUUGUGACGAUGGCCGCCAGCGAGGUGGACGUUUUUGCGAAUGAAGAAAAACGAACCCUGGAGCUCGGGGGCCAUGUGGGCUUUGAUAGUUUCCCAGAUCAGUUGGUCAGCAAAUCCGUUGCACAGGGCUUCAGUUUCAACAUCCUCUGCGUAGGGGAGACGGGGAUCGGCAAGUCCACCUUAAUGAACACACUGUUCAACACAAGGUUUGAAAGUGAAGAAGGCAGCCAUUAUGAGGAAGAAGUGCUCCUACGACCACAGACAUAUGAUCUGCAGGAGAGCAACGUUAACCUCAAGCUGACCGUCGUGCACACAGUAGGCUUCGGCGACCAGAUCAACAAAGAAGAAAGCUAUAAACCCAUACUGGAUUACAUUGAUGCUCAGUUUGAAACAUACUUGGAAGAAGAGCUCAAAAUAAAACGUUCCCUGUGCAAUCUCCAUGACACGAGAAUCCACAUCUGCCUAUAUUUCAUCGCUCCCAACGGCCACUCCCUCAAGUCCCUGGAUCUCGUCACCAUGAAGAAGCUGGACAGCAAGGUGAACGUCAUCCCUGUCAUUGCAAAGGCGGACAUUGUAUCCAGGAGCGAACUGGACAAGUUCAAGAUCAAAAUUAUGAGCGAGCUGGUCAGCAAUGGAGUGCAGAUAUAUCAGUUUCCCACCGAGGACGAGGCUGUGGCUGAGAUUAACUCUUCCAUGAACACGCACCUCCCCUUUGCUGUGGUGGGCAGUGUGGAAGAAGUCAAAGUAGGCAAUAAGAUGGUCAAAGCUAGGCUGUACCCCUGGGGAACAGUACAAGUGGAGAAUGAGAACCAUUGUGAUUUUGUCAAGCUGAGGGAGAUGCUGCUGCGUGUCAACAUGGAGGAUCUCCGUGAGCAAACGCACACGCGCCACUACGAGCUCUACCGCCGCUGCAAGCUGGAGGAGAUGGGCUUCAAGGACACAGACCCUAACAGUCAGUCCUUUAGCUUGCAGGAGACGUAUGAAGCAAAGAGGAGGGAGUUCAUUCGAGAUCUGCAAAUCAAGGAAGAAGAAAUGAGGCAGAUGUUUGUCAACAAAGUGAAGGAGACCGAAGCAGAGCUGAAAGAAAAGGAAAAAGAGCUCCACGAGAGGUUUGAGCAGCUCAAACGGCUGCACCAGGAAGAAAAGAAGAACCUGGAAGAGAAAAAACGAGAGCUGGAGGAGGAGAUGAAUGCCUUCAACAGGAGGAGGGUGGCUGCAGAGACUCUGAUGGGCCAGGCUCAGCCCCUCAAGAAGGACAAGGACAAGAAAAAUUGAUUUGUGGAAAAGUCCCCCAGGGAAACCAAGAAUGUGGCUGUCAUCAGCACGGCUUCUUUAGUCUUCCCUCCGCGUGCUCCUUGACCUCGUCCAGGAAUUUGAACUAGAGGACUUUCUACUAACGACAUGGAAAGCUCACAGACUGACGCGCAAGCUCGUUGUUUUUUGCCAAUUUGAAUUAGCACUUUUUUCCAGAAAUGCACUUCCAUCCCUGGGAUUGCAUCGCCAAGAGUCUUCCUCCAUGUGUUCUGCUCUCUCAAAGCUUUUCAGCAGUGCUUUGUAGCAUGGAACGUGCAUGUCAUAGUCAGUAUUAACCAUCUCUCUUAGCCUUCAAAUAGAUGUGCCCAUCUUUAAUCUCCCAUGUACUUUUGACUAAAGACACUGUGAAAUGAUGUACAUUAUAUACCAUGAAGUCCUAUUGAAUCAUUAAGGUUAUUUUUGAAUAAUGGUUAUUCUAUACACAGAGAUUAUAAUAGGCUUUGAUUAGCAUAUCAGUACCUUAUCAUACUAUUAUACUUUUUUUAGCAUCUAUGUUCACCUGUUUGAUCCAACAUGAUUCACUAAAACAGCUAUGUAAUUAAUUAUACAUUAAAAUGAUAGUUGUGGCCCAUGUAUAGUGGGGCAAAAAAGUAUUUAGUCAGCCAGCGAUUGUGCAAGUUCU